UCACAUAAUUGCAAAUCAAUUCAAGUAGCCUUUAAUGGAUAUUCAAGGAACACAAUAUAAAUCAUGGAUACAAAUGGAAUAUCAUCAUCUCUAUGAUUGCCUCUAGGGCAUACCUCCAACAAUUCGUGGCGCAAUCAAGAAUGCGGGUGACCAACCUGGGGAUGCAGCUGGCAACUCUAAAGAAGGGAACCCUGACUACUUCGGCCUACUUCAACAAGAUGCAAAACAUAAAAGAUGAACUUGCUACUGCUGGAAAGCCUGUUGGAGAUGAUGAGGUUGUUGCUCAUAUCCUCAAUAGUCUAGAUUUUGAUUAUCAUCCUCUUGUAUCCUCGAUGCUUGGCCGUGUAGAUCCGAUCUCGCUGUCAGAUCUCUACUCUCAAUUGAUGGAGUAUGAUCUUCGCCUGGAAAUGUUUCAAGAAGCUGGACAAUUUUAGUCGUUGGCCAAUUCUGCCUCUCGUGGACGCGAUCAUAACCGUGGUCGUGGGAACUACCACGGCAAUGGUAAUAGUGGCGGCCGUGGUGGUCAGUUCAGUUAAGGCCGUGGAGGAUAGAACCAAGGAGUGGUGCAAAUCCAUCCAAGAAGAGCGGCAAACCACAGUGUCAAAUCUGUAAGAAAGUAGGACAUGAAGCCCUAAGAUGCUGGUAUCGCUAUGAUGAUGAUGAUCAGCAACAAGGCAAGACAGCAGGCGCUGCAGCAAUUGGCUAUGGCUAUGACACCAACUAAUAUGCAGAUAGUGGUGCCACAGAUCAUGUGACCAAUGAAUUGGAGAAGCUGACGGUCCGUGACAAGUACACGUGGUGUGAUCAGGUUCAUACCGCCAGUGGAUCAGGUAUAAAAAAUUAGUAAUAUUGGGCAUAUAAUUUUUCAUACCCCUAAUAGAAAUCUACAUCUUAACAAUAUUCUCCAUGUCCCUAGCGCUCACAAAAAUCUUAUCCCUGUACAUAAAUUAGCUCGAGACAAUAAUACUUUCCUUGAAUUUCACCCAAAUUUCUUUCUCAUCAAGGAUCAGGAAACGAAGAAAAUUCUACAUCAAGGUAGAUGUAAAGGUGGUCUAUAUCCUCUAGGGUCGCAUUCAUCAAGGGAAGGUUCAAGUAAAUAAGUUCAUGUUCCAGAUGGCAUGGUAGGCUAGGUCAUCCAGCAAUUCCAAUAGAAUCGAUGCAUAAAGCUAACUGGAUGGACAAUGCUUGUAUAGCUCGAAUUAUGUAGAAGAGAAAACACCUCAGAUUCCUGAAGAGGGGAGGUCUGAAACUGCUUGCUGUGGAGGACCAGAGGGCGCUCAUGGUGCGCCUGUGCACGUUGUUCGCUCCGAUUCGUGAGUUCAUGAGCAAUUGACGUAAGUUCCGGGCUGCGGCAGACACGGAGCUAUAGGCGGCGGCGGCGUCAAACGCCAGGUUGCAAACUCGUGAUGCUCCGUCACCGAGACUUGCAACACCAGGCGAGGACGUUCCUCCUCUGUUGUGCGCCUGUGUCUGUC
rnacentral:lncRNA from 1 species